GUCACUAUAGGACUAAGAAGAUACCUUGGAUCUGAAUUGUGAAGGAGGUAUCUGGACCUGAGCUUUUCUCUUCUGCUGGCUGGUCUCUCAGAGCAAGUUUUCAGCUGAUACUUCUGGUAGGAAAUGCUUGCUCCAGUCUAGACCUAACAAAAGAAGAACCCAAUUCUCAUCAUAUUCGCUUGGUUGGUACUUGGUGAAGUUGCUGCUGUGUCACAAAUAAGAACAUAACUUGGAAAAAGAGAAGCCCUAGGGUAACAGCAACUUGGAUAGAAUAUUCCACAUGAACCACCUGGAACAUGGUGGGACCACAUCACAGUGAAUGAUGCAAAUGAUCGAUGAAAAGAGCUGAGCAGUAACAUAGGAGGAGCCAUUUACAUCAGAGUGAACCCCAUCUAUCCCAUCCAUCCAGAGUACUCACAUACAUGAGAGGAGACCAGGAAUACCGAAAUGGGGAGCCAAUGAUUGGAACCUCCCCAAUCUUAUUCUUCUGGCACAU